UCUCACUGUUCUUUUCCCAAACACACAAGAUCUCACAAUCCCAGCAAGAGGAAAUGACUUAGGGAUGAAGGCUUCAGAGGAGGAAAAAAAAAUAGAGGCUUCCAAUAAAAAUCAUUUCUAGAAGGAAUGAAGCUGUUAUUGGCAAGUCAACCAGUGAGAGAGACGACUUUGGAAAGAAAGAAGUUCUAUCUUCUAUCCACAUGUCUGUUAGAGAAUGUUUGCAGGUAUUUCCUGGGGGCUUCCCUGGUGGCUCAGAUGGUAAAGAGUCUGCCUGCAGUACAGGAGACCAGGGUUCGAUCCCUGGAUUUGGAAGAUCUGAUGGAGAAGGGAAUGGCUACCAACUCCAGUAUUCUUGCCUAGAGAAUUCCACAGACAGAGGAUCCUGGAGAGCCACAGUACACGGGAUUGCAAAGAGCUGGACAAGACUGACUAACACUAUUACCCUCCUACAGAGUUCCAAAAAAACAGCAGGAAAGGAAACAGGAUUGCUGAUGAAGUACAAGAUCAUCAGAAUUAAAGUUCUCAAGGAAUUAAAUCUCUCACUCCUGGCAAAACACCAUGCCAUGUAUUUAACUCAGCAUCCUGUGCCAAGGAGGUGAAAAAAGCCAGAAAAUAUCCUGUCCACAGUUUCUCCAUCCUCCUUCACACUCAGCCCACACAGAUGGAACUAAGAAACAUGGCGCUGGAAGCUGGGAGCCUGUGCUGCCUAAUAAGCAUGCGCUUGACUGUGGCUUCACCCAAGUGGACUGACCCACAGCAAAAGCACGGGGACUAUCCACCUGAUGAAUUCAUGGUCAGAAUCAUGAAAAUUAUAGCUAGCAUGGAUGGAAUAAAAGCCAUAUUCUGCCAGAGACUGUAUAAGCA
ensembl:lncRNA